rnacentral:rRNA from 1 species
UACGAAGGGGGCUAGCGUUGUUCGGAAUUACUGGGCGUAAAGCGCACGUAGGCGGCUUUGUAAGUUAGAGGUGAAAGCCCAGGGCUUAACCCUGGAAUUGCCUUUAAGACUGCAUCGCUCGAAUUGUGGAGAGGUGAGUGGAAUUCCGAGUGUGAGGUGAAAUUCGUAGAUAUUCGGAAGAACACCAGUGGCGAAGGCGACUCACUGGACACAUAUUGACGCUGAGGUGCGAAAGCGUGGGGAGCAAACAGG